rnacentral:ncRNA from 2 species
GCAAUCUCGGAGCGUAACUUUUACGACAUUUGAUUCUCUGGGGGAUACGCGUAGUGACCAUUCAAGCUGAUUGUGACACUACGUAGGGUAGGUAUCGGCAAAGCCAUUUGUCGAUAGACGGGAUACUAAUGCUGUAAACGCAGCAUGUUUAUGGGAAACCCAACA